GCGCACAAAGUGGAAUUAGAGAUCCAUACAAGCACAAUUGUACAUAAUAAAAUCUGAACCUAAAUAUUCAAUACUCGUCUCACCUUUUGCCAAUUGUGUGAAGGCUUAUUUGCAUUGAUUUGAUUGUUUUUAAUAGAUUUUUUAAUAUUUCUUAACACUAAAUUUCGAUUUUACUCAAUUGGUUACUUCCAUUCCCCCCCCCC
rnacentral:lncRNA from 1 species